GUCUCCUGCAAAAAAAAAGAAGAGGCAUUAUUAGAUGUAACAAAAAAAAUAGUUAAAAAGUUGGAUGUACAAUUUAAUAAAACAUCAUUUUCGCAAACACAUGUUGACCUCCUUGAUAUUGGAUAUGUAAAUCCAUCAGAAAUUAAACAAACACAGAAGCUAAUAAUAAAAAGUACAAUAUCUGAAAUUGAAAAUCAAUGGAAAGCUACUAGUGUUGAAAGAGUUUAUGGUACAAAUCUUUCACUCCGAACAAGAAAAAGACUUUCAUCAAGUAUGGAGUCCUAUGAUAAAGCUGAACACAGAAAGAUAGAAACUGAGAACCAAAUUAAAAAGGUUGUUAAGCGAAAAAAAAGUUGUUGGCUCUACUGAACGAUAUACAUGUUGGCUCUACUGAACGAUAUACAUGGAAAAAAGAGGAGUGUCUCAAUAGAUUUUUAAAUUACAAAGAAGGUAAAAAAAUAAACUUCAGAGCUUUGGCCAGAAAGUAUAAUUUAAAAGCUAUUAAUGGAAAAUCACCUGGCAAUGCAGGUCAAAUCGUAAAAGAACUUCUUCAGAAUCAAAGUGAAAUAAGCUUAACAGAAUUUUUUCAAAAAACAGGGGAAUCUAAUACAAGAGUUCUUCGUAAAAAAAGAAGGUGAAUUUAAAACUUUACAAGCCAUAAUUUAUACACAAAUACAAAAAGUCCAUAUUACAUAGGAAUAUUAGUUAAUUAGCAUGAUAUUCCAAGUAGUAUGGCAAUAAUCAUGAACAAUAGACAAAUCCUUCUUAUUUUUUAUAGAUUGGAUAUAGAUAAAAGUGCAUCUUUUCCACAAGAAGAAAGCAACUUCAUGGUUACAGGAAGAAUUAAGAGACAAAAUCAUGAAAAGAAAUAUUCAUUAGGAGAGUGAGUUGUACCACAGUCAUUUGAAAAGUCAGUAAUAAAAGAAAAAAAUUUAGAAAAAAAAGUAUUUACAGUAGAAGGAUGAAAACAAUCAUUUGAUACCAUAAGAAAAUAUAUAAAUGAAAAGCACAAAGAGUUGAUGAUGAGAAUCAAAAGUGACAAAGACAAAGAGGCGUGAACUUCCCAUUAAAUGCUCUUCCGUGGUGCUCUGUGGUAAGACUGUAAGGACUUCUUGGGGCACCUUAAUCAAUUUAAAAAAAAAUAUAUAUAUAUAUAUAUAUUGAUAUGUCAGAAACCAAUAUUAUAGAUUUUCUAAAAAGAAUUUACGAGUACGAUGAAACUCAACAGUUAACUACAGAAGAACUCAGAUCAAGACUUAUAAUAUUUGAACGAAAACGUCAUUUAAUAUUCUGGCAUGAUGCUUCAACUGUCUGUAAUCAUGGGUACAUUCUUAUGACAGUUUCAGCUUUAUAUGAUACCACUUUAUACUUCACAGACGAAAAAUAUAAUUUAAUUAGUUGACAAAAAAUUAAUAUCCAGGCAAUUGUUGAAUCUCCUAUAUGGUAUCUGUUAGCUAGAUCACCUUCAACAGAUAAUUUACUGAUGUAUUCAACAACCAGAAUGAAUGACAUCAUUUCUCUAAAAACUCCUACACUUAUAAAUAAUAUAGAAAUCACAGAUGAAAUGCAUGUUUUUAAGGGGGAUGGACCAGCUACUCAGUUUGAGGCCGGACAGCAAAAAGGAGGAAACUAUUUGUGUUGGGCGUGUGACAUAAAUGUAGAACACAACAAUAAUUUUUCAUUUGCAAGCAAUUGUCAAUAUAAAAAUCUAUAUCAGAGACAGCAGAAAGUCCUAUAUUCACAGCAGUCUAGAGAUAAUAGCCAAAAAUAUAUAACCAAACUAUAUGCAAACUUAGGAAAGAAUGAAGUUAUUAAUGAGCUACAUCAAAGAAAUAUAAAUUUUUAAAAUGGAUAUGAAAAAAUCUGUUUUAGAUAAAAAACUUGUUCAUGAAAUGCACGGUAUACAAAAAGUACCAAGCCUAAUUUUCUUUGAACCUGAAUCACUAUUUAAAGAUCAUGGUUUACAAAAUUAUGAACUGCUAAUCGAACCUCUCCACGACAUAUUAAACCAUAUUAAAAACUUAUUUAUUGAACUACCUUCUCAUUUUUUAAAGUCAGAGUGUAAACAACUUGAAAAAGUAAUUAAAGCAGUAUUUGAAGGAAAAGAGUCUAGGCGAGCAGCAGAUUAUCGAGCGGCAAUUAUAAAGACAACAGUAUAUUGCCAACAUCACCACCCAAAUAAUCCUUUGACUCAAAUAUUUUUAAUUAUGUGUGAAAUCCAGGAGUACAUUUAUAAACCUGUCUAAACAAACAAACAAACUGAUUCUUAAUUUUUAUUUAAAGACAUUUGAACAUAUAAUCUUAUUGAAAGAAAACAUUGGUUCUAAUCUUAAUAUUUUGACUAAAAGGAAUUUCUAUGGAAAAUAUUUUCACUGCCUAUUUAUGCAUCCUCCAGACCAGCUGAGAGUUAUUUCAGGAUGUGCGGCCAAUACUGAGAAAGAAGAAAGACAAUUUAAUUUUAUUAAAAACAUGUCUAAUUCUACAUCAAAAAGGCUUCUGACAACAUUAUUUCGAAUGCUAUAAUAAGAAUUCAAGUAUCUGAGGAACUAAAAAACAAAAACCCAAAAAGUCAAAUGGAAUCAUCAAUUUCCAAACUUUACAAAAAUAUUUUUAUUCAAAACAGUGGCAAUACUAUCAUACCAUUUUCAAUAAUCAAGUUUCAUCCAGAUGAUUAUGAGUCACUGUUGAAGAAAAUAGCUGAUUACCUUGUUGAAGAAAACGUAUUUUGGCAAGAAAUACCAAAAGGCAUCACGUUUUUUGAUAAACAAAAAGUGAUAACAAGUAAAAAGCAAUGUCGCCAUUUUCGGUCAACAACCAUAAAGAAAGAAAUUGAUUGUGUUAGAAAAUGCUGGGAGGUAUGUUUACUUAAUGCAAACCUGUUAGUACCAGCUUUUCAAAUCAAAGUUGACAGUGCAGAUGGUUCUGUUAUAAAAUUCUUGGAUACAAUUAAACAUUUUGAACAAGAAAUUUCGGCAAAUGAGUAGCCUUUUCUUUUUGCGUAGUUGUAUACACAACAACAAAAAAUUCUGUUAAAAAAAAGUCUUUGUAUUAUUGGUUUAAGGAUGAGGCAUGGGUUUUCUUUUAGUCUGAUUUAGAUUCUUUCUUAUUCUUGUUGAUCUUUGACAUAAUAAAAAAAUGAUAUGUUUUUCAGUAAGCUUAACCUAUAAUGGAGAAAAAUUUAUCUUAUUUUUAAAAAAGUAAUUAAACAUUAGUCUUUUAUUUUAGAUUAGAUUUAGAUACAUUGAAACUUUUCUUUAUGUAACACACGGUUU
rnacentral:lncRNA from 1 species